CACGCCGUAAACGAUGAGUACUAGGUGUAGGGGGUAUCGACCCCCCUGUGCCGCAGUAAACACAAUAAGUACUCCGCCUGGGAAGUACGAUCGCAAGAUUAAAACUCAAAGGAAUUGACGGGGACCCGCACAAGCAGCGGAGCAUGUGGUUUAAUUCGAAGCAACGCGAAGAACCUUACCUGGACUUGACAUCCCCUGAAUGACUCGUAAUGGAGGAAGCCCUACGGGGCAGGGAGACAGGUGG
rnacentral:rRNA from 1 species